GUGUAAGCUGUUACACCCUGAGGUGUGUAAGAGCGGUGUGUGUAUCAACAUCCCUGGCUACUCCUGCUCCUGCACCAUUGGCUACUACUACGACAAUGUGUUUCUGGAGUGCAUCGAUGUUGAUGAGUGUGAGGCAGGGGAGGACAGCUGUCCAGGGGGAAUCUGUGUCAACACAUUAGGCUCAUACUUCUGUACCUGCGAUCCCCCUCUUGUGUUGGAUGACACUCAGCGCAGCUGUGUCAAUUCCACUGGCCUCACCGUGGGAUGAUAUGAGCCAUAUGCAGGCCUGAGCACAGAGGACUGUGGGAUACUGCAUAGCUGUGAGAACGGCAGGUGUAUCCGGGUGGCAGAGGGAUACAUGUGACUGCUACGAGGGCUACGAGCUGGACAUGACCUCCAUGGCCUGCAUAGCUAGACAUCAAUGAAUGUGAGGCUCCUGACAACGUGUGUGUGAACGGCCUAUUCAUCAACACAGACGGCUCCUAUCGCUGUGUGUGUCACAGAGGCUACGUCAUGUCCCGUCGGCCCAACCACUGUGUGGCAGCAUAGCACAGCUACUACUUUGAACAUUGUCUUCCCCACUCAACAGUCCUAUCUGCUACUGGGGAAGUGUUGUGUAUCACCAUCGCCCCCCAAUGGCCUCUACAGGCUCUGUCAAGGGCUCACUAAAGCACCUGUCCAUUUUCUGACCUGAGAGAAAAGCUGAGAGGGUUGUUCUCUGCAGAAAACGUCAACGUACUGACAUAUCGUGUCUGAGAGAGAUUUGAGUCCAUAGAACUCUGAUAUUAAUACGGUUUGAGUCCUAUACUGCACACACAACUCAUUAUAUAUAUACACAUGAGCUCAACUACACUCAUACACUUGAGACUGCUAUUUUAUAGCAGGUAAAUAAAUAUGACCUUUAGCCAACCUUUCCAUUGAUGAUGUUGAAAUGCAUAGUUGUGAAAAAGAGGUUAACGUACAUUGUGCAAAAUCCUAACUAUAUGAACACGUAUCUAAAGGUAGGAUCCGGCCCAUUGAGAUUGGUCACUUUGAGCUCAAUCAUGAUCAACACACCACGUUCUGUGCCUAGACCUGAGGUAGGCAGGAACUAUUGAAUGGGGCCAGUGUAGUCUCUAAGACAAAGAUUACAGGCUACUGCUAGAGACGAGCAGAGCCUUUGUCUAAGACAAUAUCUCUGUCUGUGGAUGUUUUGUUAACGAACGCUCUCUUUAGCUGGAAUGUACAAAAAACGUGACUUGUAUUCUCUCCAUUUGUUGAUUUUACAACCCAACUGAUGUUUGUUUAUGAUUGCUUCUUGUAUUAAUUUAUGCUGUUCAAAGUUAAGUUACUCUUUAUGUAAUAAUAACUUGUAUUAUUUUAUAGAAAUGUAUAUGCAGAAGAGGAAGCUACACAUCACUGACGUGUCUGUACAUUUAUUUCUUUAGACUUUUGUAGCCAAUUUGGAUUUUUUUUUAGAUGAGAAUGAAUGUAUUUUAAAACUGAUAUAUGAUAGUUGACUUUGUAUUCACAAUUUGAAAUGUUGUUUGUGUGAUCAAUACACAAUCAGUGAUAAAAUACCAAGUACAUAUUUACAAUUGAGAAAUUAUUAUUUUUACCAAAUUAUAUCUGUUUCAGUGAGUAGAACCUUCUCUGUAAAUGUUCCUACUUCCUGAUGUAGUUUACAAGCUGAAAGAAACCUGAAAGCAUUUCCUCCUUUCAGCACCUAAAGAGGUAUAAUACUAUGCACUGUAUUUGUGGACGACGUAGCCGUUGUGUACUUUUUACACAAAACUUUGUACACUUUUUUUAUUUGUUUCUGGUAUUUGUUAAUUGUUUUGUCAGUGAUUUUUGUAUGAUUUUU